CCAAAUAAUUAGACGUAAGCUACCCCGCUUACAUCGACCUCAUAUUUAUAGGAGUAGAUGGCGUCUGUAAAUCUCCACGCGAGAAAUCGCAACGAAGACAAAAUACUGUUUUUUUUAUUGUUUUGACGAUGCAAAAGCUUACAUAAAAAGAAAUGAAAUUGAUACGAAUAACCUACAUAAAAAACUUUGGUAAUUCAGUUUUUACUUCAUCCUCCCAUAAGGUUUGUUGGGUCAAUGGGGUGAACCCUUACAUGUAUGUGAGCCUUGGACAUCAGGUUCUGAAAUGCCACCAUGUUACAGACAAGAAUAAGAAGAGAAAACUGGAAAAGGAAAAGACAAAGACAGUUAGCAGUGAGCAACAUUCAUAUGCUAAAUAGAAAACAAGGCAUGCAGUGCAGCUCUCCAAAAAAUUGGACUGUCCUGCUUCUAUCAUACUGAAGGAAGUGUUGAUAUUCACCCCUGAAGAGGGUUCAUCAAGCGAGCUGGACAAAAAAAUGGCUGCUUCUAAUGUGAGGAGUGAUCUGAGUAAAGGCAUCAAGAAGAUAAUGGUGGUGUUUCCUAACAUCGAACAAAAGUACCAUACAAGU